rnacentral:rRNA from 1 species
UACGGAGGGUGCGAGCGUUGUCCGGAUUCACUGGGCGUAAAGGGCGCGUAGGCGGCCCGGUCAGUCGGUCCUUUAAGAGCGGGGCUCACCCCCGUGGGGGGACCGGGACGGCCGGGCUGGGGCGCGGCAGAGGGGGACGGAAUGCCGGGUGUAGUGGUGAAAUGCGUAGAGAUCCGGCGGAACACCGGUGGCGCAGGCGGUCCCCUGGGCCGAGGCCGACGCUGAGGCGCGAGAGCGCGGGGAGCGAACCGG